CGCCACCAACCUCCUCUCGGCCGGACGCUCCCUCCCCUCGCGAUGCCGCCAUCGUCCUCUGGCCGUCUCGCGCUGCUGCUCCCGAUCUCCUCCAGCUGCAGCUCUCGUUCUCGACCUGCUGCUGCAGCCGCUGCUUCUCCAGAUCCCGCUGGAACGAGGCUGCUCCCGCUGGAACGAGGCUCCUCCCGUCAAACUCCCCGCUCCCGAUCCGUUUUGGCCUCCAGCC
rnacentral:lncRNA from 1 species